AGGGGUAUAGUUCAAUGGUAGAACAACGGUCUCCAAAACCGUCGAUGUGGGUUCAACUCCUACUACCCCUG
rnacentral:tRNA from 1 species